rnacentral:rRNA from 1 species
UACGUAGGGAGCAAGCGUUGUCCGGAAUCAUUUGGGCGUAAAGCGCGCGUAGGCGGCCCUGUAAGUCCGUUGUGAAAGUCAAAGGCUCAACCUUUGAAAGCCGAUGGAUACUGCAGGGCUAGAGUCCGGAAGAGGCGAGUGGAAUUCCUGGUGUAGCGGUGGAAUGCGCAGAGUAUCAGGAGGAACACCGGUGGCGAAGGCGGUUCUCUGGCAUGUCCUGACGCUGGAGGAGCGAAAGUGUGGGAGCGAACAGG